GAACAUCUCUAUAUAUUUACGACAUCGAGAAAUUUACAUUCCACUUAUUUAAAAAUUAGCUGUAACUUGGUUAUAACAAAAGUGCAUACAUUAACGAAGUACGAAAAGGGCAGAUAGUGCGCAGUCGGCGGCUGUUCUGUUUCGCUACUCUUCUUGUCGAGGUAAAAUUAGAGGUGGGCAAUUAUUAAAAUAGAAGAGUGACCGGUAGCUUCGAGUGGAAGCCUGACUCAUCCCGCUCGGAAAUGGAUAGAGUGCUCGCGAGGUGGAAAAUGCGCGAAAUCUAUUUGUCGACUGCGCCCCAGCACCAGCUGGACCCGAUCGAGGGAUUCGCACGAUGCUCGGGUCAUUGCCAUCACUCGUGCCGACAUCAAGUCUUUCCAUUGGUUAUUGUCAUUUGGCCCUGGACUCCAACGGAACAAAUCACCGUAAAAAAUGUCGUAAUGUAUUCGUUAUCAGUUUCAUCUGAUUCUGAACGCAACCGUGUAGGACGUGACUGGAAUUUACGAAUGUCGGUGUGCGUAUGUUUAUUGAAGUGAAGCGUUACGUUCAAGGUAAGCACACCUUGAUCCUGAUCUACGUCAAAAAAGAAAAAGAUUUCCAUGUAAUCAAAGAAUAAGACGUUUCUUGUAUUCCUACUCCUUUUUGGAACAAAGUUUCAAGUUUAUCGGUCAGAUCUCUUCUACCUGAGACGAAGGUACAAACGUUCGUGGACUAAUCCGCGUCUGUACCAGCCCAGCUGGUUUAGACCCUGAACGCUCCUAUUCAGGCUCGAAGAUUUGCGAACUGAAUAGCCGGUUUCUUCGAGGUAGAAUCGCGUGACGUCAUUUGUUUCUCCCCUGUCACGUUCUUUCUGCUUUCAACGCGCGUUCAAAGGAAAUGAGCGAUCUGUCCGCACGAAUUUGUUACGAGACCGGGCACAGGUAAAAAUACAUUUGCCACUGGAAGAUUAUUCUUACUUUCUUUGAAUCAUUUUUAUGAGCGUUAGUAUUAACUCGUAUCGCUCUCUUCGUAUUUUCUUUCUCGAUCUCUGUUUACCUUCACUAACACAGAGAUCGAAAUAGCAGGUAAUAAUCGUAAAACGAUCGGCGUGAAAGCACGCCGAUGAUUGCUCGGUUGUAUGAUCUCAUAUCGCGAUUUACCGCCGGUUACGUAAAUAAAACCAGAUGAAAACUCGUUACUGUGCUAAUUGAAUGGUGAUUGUGCAAUCUUCGUUUUAACUUCCUCUUU